rfam:Homo sapiens chromosome 6, GRCh38 reference primary assembly.
GUCUACGGCCAUACCACCCUGAAUGCCCCCGAUCUUCUCUGAUCUCAGAAGCUAAGCAGGGUUGGGCCUGGUUAGUACUUGGUAUGGGAGAAAGCAUUAGACAUCAAUC